CCUACGGGUGGCAGCAGUGAGGAAUAUUGGUCAAUGGGCUUACGCCUGAACCAGCCAAGUCGCGUGAGGGAAGACUGCCCUAUGGGUUGUAAACCUCUUUUGUAAGGGAGCAAUUGGCGCUACGUGUAGCGUUAUCGAGAGUACCUGAAGAAAAAGCCUCGGCUAACUCCGUGCCAGCAGCCGCGGUAAUACGGAGGAUGCGAGCGUUAUCCGGAUUUAUUGGGUUUAAAGGGUGCGUAGGCGGAAUGCCAAGUCAGCGGUAAAAUCGCGGGGCUCAACCUCGCUCCGCCGUUGAAACUGGCGGUCUUGAGUGGGCGAGAAGUAUGCGGAAUGCGUGGUGUAGCGGUGAAAUGCAUAGAUAUCACGCAGAACUCCGAUUGCGAAGGCAGCAUACCGGCGCCCAACUGACGCUGAAGCACGAAAGCGUGGGUAUCGAACAGGAUUAGAUACCCUUGUAGUC
rnacentral:rRNA from 1 species